GUCUUAGAAGGAUGAACUUGGUGUGCAGACUGGAGGGCUCAGGCAAGAAAAUGCAUACAAUGGGACAAUGACAGAGCAAAGUUAAAAUGAACCUUGAAAUGAAGUCACUUCUCAAAAUGCAUGCAAUAAGAUUCUGUACAGGUGGGACAUACAUUUUGCUUUAGGCUUCAAAAGCCAUUGGAAAAAGGGAAACAGAAUCAGCUAUAGGUAUCUACAAGAGAUGAAGACACUUCUUCAAAAGUGCACCUGUGAGACAGAAUGUUGUAGCUGACCUGGUUUUUCCCCUACAUGUUUAAUCUGAGAUACCAGGAGUCUGUCUCUUUCCAAGUUUACCAAGUGAAUGUUUGUCUGCAGAGUAAGUAAGUAAACACAUUGAACAAUCAUUAUUAAACAGUAUUCCUAAUGUAAUGAAAAUUGAAAGAAAUCCAAACUAGGCAUAUGCGUUUCAAGAAGUGAGUUGUGCCGAACGGAUCAAAUCGACAUCUGUUCAGGUGGAGGUGCAGCAGCCCUGGGAAUCAUCAGCCCCUGUCACUGGGGAUUCCUCAUCUGCUCAGCGCUGGAACUGGACGACAUAGUUAGAAUUUAUUACGCUAUUUGUUUAUUUACGGUUUUCUAACAUUUUUUAAUGUGAACUUUUCAAACACACAGAAAAGUUGGAAAUAAUGUAUAGUGAACAAGCCAUCUACCCACCACAUAGAAUCUACAAUUAACAUUUUGUUAUACUGGGUUUAUCACAGAUCUAUCCAUCUAUCCGUUUGUCCAUCCUUCAAUCUAGCUUUUAAAAUACACAUUUCAAAAUAAGUUGCUGACAUAAGACACUUCUUCCUAAAUACUU